AACUCUCGACAACGGAUAUCUCGGCUCUAGCAUCGAUGAAGAACGUAGCGAAAUGCGAUACUUGGUCUAAAUUGCAGAAUCCCAUGAACCAUCAACUCUUUGAACGCAAGUUGCGCCUGAAGCCAUUAGGCCGAGGGCACGCCUGCCUGGGCGUCA
rnacentral:rRNA from 1 species